AUUGAACGCUGGCGGCAGGCCUAACACAUGCAAGUCGAGCGGAUGAAGGGAGCUUGCUCCUGGAUUCAGCGGCGGACGGGUGAGUAAUGCCUAGGAAUCUGCCUGGUAGUGGGGGAUAACGUCCGGAAACGGGCGCUAAUACCGCAUACGUCCUGAGGGAGAAAGUGGGGGAUCUUCGGACCUCACGCUAUCAGAUGAGCCUAGGUCGGAUUAGCUAGUUGGUGGGGUAAAGGCCUACCAAGGCGACGAUCCGUAACUGGUCUGAGAGGAUGAUCAGUCGCACUGGAGCUGAGACACGGUCCAGACUCCUACGGGAGGCAGCAGUGGGGAAUAUUGGACAAUGGGCGAAAGCCUGAUCCAGCCAUGCCGCGUGUGUGAAGAAGGUCUUCGGAUUGUAAAGCACUUUAAGUUGGGAGGAAGGGCAGUAAGUUAAUACCUUGCUGUUUUGACGUUACCAACAGAAUAAGCACCGGCUAACUUCGUG
rnacentral:rRNA from 1 species